UUAUCAAAUGACGGUGAAGAUAUCGUCAACACUAAUCGUCUGUGGACAUAUCUUAGAGAUGUAAGUAGUUUCCACAUAACAUUGUGUGUACGAAUGGGCCAUAGUUACGAACUUCAAUAACUUUUACGUGUGAUAUCACACUAAAUAAACACAUAAGUAAUCGGUAACAUGUAUUAUUUACUUGCCUUAAUUGGUUUGCAUAACACUGUUAUAAUUUAUUAGUACCUAUUAUUUUGUUUAAUGGUGAGCCAUACUCAAAAUCAUUUAAUUAUUUCUAGAUUACACCAGAUGACCAUGUUUACCAUGAAUGCUGGCAGCUAGCUAGUCAUUCAUGUUCUUCUGAUAAUAUGCCGAGAAGACACAUAGGCCAUCAGUGUUUGUGUUGUAUGUGGACAACCCAUACUAAGAAUCAGGCAAUGCAGAAUUUUGAUUGAAGAAAAACAAAGAACGGCUUACACAAUUGCUACUUAGAUAUAACCACGACAGCAUCAUCCUGACGAUAAAGCUUGUGUGCGGUGUUGGUUAAGAGUGAAAACUAAGGAUACUUCACCAAAUGAAGAUAUUCAACCCGUUGAACCUUAUCAGCAGGAAAGUGAUAAUUCUGAACUGAUGUGUGCUGCAUGUGGUCAAAGUCUUACUCCCGACAACACUGCUUGUUUGUUGGAGCACCAGCAGACACCUUCCAUUAAUGAAGUUUGUGAAGUUUGCUGGGGCCAAGUAUGCAAUUUGAACUUCUAUGUUCAAGAUGGUCUAUGUUGCUUCAAGCUAAAAUAAAGUCCUGCCACUCUUCUCCUAGAACUUAUUUUGUUUUCAUAGUUGCAGAAACAAAUAUGAAUAGCCGGGACACAAUCAAAAGUGAUUGCUGUAAUUGUAUUGUAGGUUUAAGAACAGUGGGAUGCUGCUCACAUGUUAUGAGCAUUCUUUGGUAUUUGAGUUAUGCUUGCCAUGAGGGUAUCAGCCGACCUGCCCCUUUCUUGGAUGAAGUAAUAUUAAGAACCAAUCAAGUAAUUAUAAGAAAAUAAAGUAAAUGAAAUUCCUAGAAAAACUAAGUUGUUUUAUUUACCUACACUGAAAACUUCAUCAGCUCUUAAUCAUUAUCAAACUAUUGUAGACCGCUGCUGGACAUAGGUCACUCCUUAAGCACCCUACUGAAUGGGUAAAUUCUCAUGUCAAUUUAUCAACUUCCUAUAUUCUUUUUCAUUUAAACAAUGUUUAUGUGCUUAGUGCUUACACAUGAUAAAGAACAAAGGGUAAUGUUGGGACCACCUCUCAAUAGUAAUGAGACACCCUUCUAUAGAUAAAUAUUCUCAAACUGAAUAAACUUACUAAAGUACUACAAUUAAGCUUAAGCAAUUAACCUUUUUUAUGCAAUAAGUUGUUAACGAGCAGACGGAUCAUCUGAUGGUAAGCAAUCGCCGCCGCCCAUGUACACCUGAGGCGUUAGAAGUGCGUUGCCGGCCUUUUGGGGGUUCGGAAUUUAAGGGUUGUUAGGGAAGGGGUAAUUGCGCCUCCGGGAACCUCACUCACUCAACGAAAUACAACGCCAACGCGAAACAAACUCUUGACAAUGAUGAUAGUAGCUUACUUUAUUACAAGAUAAAUGUUCCAUAAGUCAUUUCUUAUCUUCCUACUCUUUCUCCUUCCGAAACACGAAGGAGACUUUCUAUGAUGGUCACCCAUCCACACACCAAAGUCGACAAGGGUUGCUUAACCUUGGCGAUUGACCUGUGCUUUUGAUAUUAUUAACAACAAGCUUCUCUACUAGCCCAUACCUAUUAUAUGUAUAUUCUACUAUUCUACCUUAUAAAUAAUAUGAAAAUCUUGUAAAAUAUCCAUAUUUACAGAAUAUUCCCAUUGGCCAUAGACAAACCUAACCUCAAACAUAAAACUAGCUAUAUCUCUUAUCUCCCAACUUCUAAAAAUCUGAGAAUUUUUAUAGGGCUUUCCAAUCAUGUUUACUACCAAUUAAACCCAAAAAUAUUCGGGAACACGAAAAUUUUUUGCUGUACGAAACUCCCAUACAAACCUGCCAUUCUCCUUUCAGCUUAAAAUACGUUUAAAAAAAAAUUUGUACCAAAUACUUGAUAUCGCAUAGUUCUUGAUUUCAAAUCAUACAAACGUGUCAAAUCACUACAGGGAUCACUCGUUAAUAUUACGAAACAUUUCUUCUGACCAUCUGAUCGCCUAGGACCUGUCUACCUAAUUUUGAUUCGCGAGCCGGCGCGUUUUGAAACAUUCAUAACUUGGUAUUAUGAAAACAUGAGUUUA